GUACUUGCUUCGGCAGCACAUAUCCUAAAAUUGGAACGAUACAGAGAUGAUUAGCAUGUCCCCUGCACAAGGAGGACACACCAAUUCGUGAAAUGUUGCGUUUUUUU
ensembl:snRNA U6 U6 spliceosomal RNA